GAUGAACGCUGGCGGCGUGCCUAAUACAUGCAAGUCGAGCGAACAGACGAGGAGCUUGCUCCUUCGACGUUAGCGGCGGACGGGUGAGUAACACGUAAGUAACCUACCUAUAAGACUGGGAUAACUUCGGGAAACCGGAGCUAAUACCGGAGAAUAUUUCGAACCGCAUGGUUCGAUAGUGAAAGAUGGCUUUGCUAUCACUUAUUGAUGGACCUGCGCCGUAUUAGCUAGUUGGUAAGGUAACGGCUUACCAAGGCCACGAUACGUAGCAGACCUGAGAGGGUGAUCGGCCGCCGGGGAGAUGGGACACGGACCCAACUCCUAAGGGAGGCAGGGGUAAGGAAUCUUCCGGAAUGGGCGGAAGGCUGACGGACGCAAGGCGCGUGAGUGAGAAAGGGCUUCGGCUCGUGAAACUAGAUUAUUAGGGGAGAACGAACGUGUUAGUACCUGUGCACGUCUUGACGGUACCUAAUCAGAAAGCCACGGCUAACUACGUG
rnacentral:rRNA from 1 species